rnacentral:rRNA from 1 species
CCUACGGGAGGCUGCAGUGAGGAAUAUUGGUCAAUGGACGAGAGUCUGAACCAGCCAAGUAGCGUGAGGGAUGACUGCCCUAUGGGUUGUAAACUUCUUUUAUAUGGGAAUAAAAUGUGCCACGUGUGGGAUUUUGUAUGUACCAUAUGAAUAAGGAUCGGCUAACUCCGUGCCAGCAGCCGCGGUAAUACGGAGGAUCCGAGCGUUAUCCGGAUUUAUUGGGUUUAAAGGGAGCGUAGGUGGAUUGUUAAGUCAGUUGUGAAAGUUUGGGGCUCAACCGUAAAAUUGCAGUUGAAACUGGCAGUCUUGAGUACAGUAGAGGUGGGCGGAAUGCGUGGUGUAGCGGUGAAAUGCUUAGAUAUCACGAAGAACUCCGAUUGCGAAGGCAGCUCACUGGACUGCAACUGACACUGAGGCUCGAAAGCGUGGGGAUCAAACAGGAUUAGAUACCCUUGUAGUC